GGGCCUAUAGCUCAGUUGGUAGAGCUUCCGGCUCAUAACCGGAUGGUGGGGGGUUCGACUCCCUCUGGGCCCACCA
rnacentral:tRNA from 1 species